GGAGGUGACGAGCGGCCUGGUGGCGCUCCUGGGUCCCGGGUGGGUUCGAUUCCCAUUCACCUCCG
rnacentral:tRNA from 1 species